rnacentral:rRNA from 1 species
UACGUAGGGUGCAAGCGUUUGUCCGGAAUUAUUGGGCGUAAAGAGCUCGUAGGCGGUCUGUCGCGUCGGAUGUGAAAAUCAGGGCUCAACCCUGGACCUGCAUUCGAUACGGGCAGACUAGAGUUCGGUAGGGGGAGACUGGAAUUCCUGGUGUAGCGGUGAAAAUGCGCAGAUAUCAGGAGGAACACCGGUGGCGAAGGCGGGGUCUCUGGGGCCGAAACUGACGCUGAGGAGCGAAAAGCGUGGGGGAGCGAACAGG